UUCCAGACUCCUACGGGAGGCAGCAGUGGGGAAUAUUGCACAAUGGGCGAAAGCCUGAUGCAGCAACGCCGCGUGAAGGAAGAAGGGUUUCGGCUCGUAAACUUCUAUCAACAGGGACGAAAGAAAUGACGGUACCUGAAUAAGAAGCCCCGGCUAACUACGUGCCAGCAGCCGCGGUAAUACGUAGGGGGCAAGCGGUAUCCGGAAUUACUGGGUGUAAAGGGUGAGUAGGCGGCAUGGUAAGCCAGAUGUGAAAGCCUUGGGCUUAACCCAAGGAUUGCAUUUGGAACUAUCAAGCUAGAGUACAGGAGAGGAAAGCGGAAUUCCUGGUGUAGCGGUGAAAUGCGUAGAUAUCAGGAGGAACACCGGUGGCGAAGGCGGCCUGCUGGACUGCAACUGACGUUGAGGCCCGAAAGCGUGGGGAGCAAACAGGAUUAGAUACCCGCGUAC
rnacentral:rRNA from 1 species